UCAAUGGUUUUUCUCAAAACCCCAACAUAGAAUUAAACAAUCACUU
rfam:Picea glauca, whole genome shotgun sequence.